AGUCUGAUUUUCGGACGUGAUGCGAAAGGGAGAAUGUGUCAGUUCUCGCCAGGUCUGAAUUUAUGAUGUUAUUCUUCAUGAUUAAAAGGCAAGAGUAGAUAAGGACUGCCUUGUGUCUGGACUGAUUUAUUCCACACGUGCUGCACUCUGCUUCUCACCGCUGUGUUUCGCUCUGCUACCGGCAAGAGAAAGAGGCCUGAGGAGGACUUUUGCAGGAGGCACGGAUAGCUUGCAGAGUUCCGCAACGGAAGCGUGCCGGGCUCCAUGU